CAGGCCCCUUCGGGGGUACACGAGUGGCGAACGGGUGAGUAACACGUGGGUAAUCUGCCCUGCACUUCGGGAUAAGCCUGGGAAACCGGGUCUAAUACCGGAUAUGAACUCCUGCCGCAUGGUGGGGGUUGGAAAGUUUUUCGGUGCAGGAUGAGCCCGCGGCCUAUCAGCUUGUUGGUGGGGUAAUGGCCUACCAAGGCGACGACGGGUAGCCGGCCUGAGAGGGUGAUCGGCCACACUGGGACUGAGACACGGCCCAGACUCCUACGGGAGGCAGCAGUGGGGAAUAUUGCACAAUGGGCGAAAGCCUGAUGCAGCGACGCCGCGUGGGGGAUGACGGUCUUCGGAUUGUAAACCCCUUUCAGUAGGGACGAAGCGCAAGUGACGGUACCUGCAGAAGAAGCACCGGCUAACUACGUGCCAGCAGCCGCGGUAAUACGUAGGGUGCGAGCGUUGUCCGGAAUUACUGGGCGUAAAGAGCUCGUAGGCGGUUUGUCACGUCGUCUGUGAAAUCCCUCGGCUUAACCGGGGGCGUGCAGGCGAUACGGGCAGACUUGAGUACUACAGGGGAGACUGGAAUUCCUGGUGUAGCGGUGAAAUGCCGCAGAU
rnacentral:rRNA from 1 species